CCGAGCUCGGGUUGCCAUGGCGACGGGGAGGCCUUUAAGGGCCUGGUAGUCUCUACAAACACACUGCACCUGCUCUUUCUCUUGGCCCUCGUGAAGAGACACCUCAGGUGCCAAGGAAGAGUGAAUUGUCACAUCAGAGUGAGAGAACAGAGCAGUGCCCUCAGAGUACCUCAAAGUACCGUCAGUGGCAAGGACCAGAGAAGAACAAAGUGAUAAAUGCACAGAGGAGGAAGAACAAGAGCUUUAUCUACCAAAUAACCUGGACUGGACAAACUACCAUGUCUUAUUGAGACCUGCUACAGGAAAUGCAGGAAAGAGUCUUAAGUCCACUUGAGUCCGAUUUAUAAAAGAGCAGAAGUGGCCCUGGAGACAAAGGCAGCAGCAACAGUGAUGGGGGACAAGACUCCAAGGCAAAGGGAGUCGGCGUGAUGUGGCAGAAAGAACAUGCCCUUUGAAGCUGGCAAACUUGAGUUCGCACCCAUGCUGGGAAAGGAGGCUGUCGGCGGCUUAGGGCUAUCAAUCUGACAUACUUCUCUCGUUCUACACGGAGACUAAAAUACCAUUUAAGUCUUAUUCCAACGUUUCUCGAAUCAUGUGGGUAUUACCAAGCAUGAAAUCAUCAUCUAAAAACUCAAUUUUAAAGAGCUGGUACUUUGGGAAAAAUAAGAAAGAACGUUUCCCCCUGUUUACUCUGAGAUUUGCUUUUUUUCUUUUUUCUUUUUGGUCUCCAAUAGUGUGUUAUUGUGUUUUUCUUAAUCUUUGGAGAUUAAGCUUCAAUGUUUCAC